rnacentral:tRNA from 1 species
UGCAGUCGUGGCGGAAUUGGCAUACGCGCUAGACUAAGGAUCUAGUGGUCAUUGCGACCGUACGGGUUCAAGUCCCGUCGACUGCAG